UACAUAGGGUGCAAGCGUUACUCGGAAUUACUGGGCGUAAAGCGUGCGCAGGCGGCUUUGCAAGACAGAUGUGAAAUCCCCGGGCUCAACCUGGGAACUGCAUUUGUGACUGCAAGGCUGGAGUACGGCAGAGGGGGAUGGAAUUCCGCGUGUAGCAGUGAAAUGCGUAGAGAUCGGGAGGAACACCCGUGGCGAAGGCGGCCAUCUGGACCAGCACUGACGCUGAGGCACGAAAGCGUGGGGAGCAAACAGG
rnacentral:rRNA from 1 species